rnacentral:rRNA from 1 species
AGCAGCCGCGGUAAUUCCAGCUCCAAUAGCGUAUAUUAAAGUUGUUGCAGUUAAAAAGCUCGUAGUUGAAUUUCGGGAUUAGUAAGUUGGUCGUGCCUCUGGUAUGUACUGGCUUUACUGGUUCCUCCUUCUUGAAGAACUGUAAUGUUAUUAAUUUGGUGUUGCAGGGAAACAGGACUGUUACUUUGAAAAAAUUAGAGUGUUUAAAAGCAGGCUAACGCUUGAAUACAUUAGCAUGGAAUAAUGAAAUAGGACGUUUGAUCCUAUUUUGUUGGUUUCUAGGAUUGACGUAAUGAUUAAUAGGGAUAGUUGGGGGCAGUUAGUAUUCAAUUGUCAGAGGUGAAAUUCUUGGAUUUAUUGAAGACUAACUACUGCGAAAGCAUUUGCCAAGGAUGUUUUCAUUAAUCAAGAACGAAAGGUUAGGGGAUCGAAGACGAUCAGAUACCGUCGUAGUCUUAACCAUAAACUAUAGCCGACUAGGGAUCGGAUGAUGUUAAUUUUUUAAUGUACUCAUUCGGCG